AAUUCGUUUUAUUGUCCUGACAAUCAUCAAAAGAAAGAAUGAUAAAAUAGCAGUGGCGUAGUUGAAACGUUCUAAAUAUUUUUAUCUCGACUUGGUGUUUGAUCGUCCUUGUUUAAUCUUAUCAAACAUGGAAGUAGAAAAUCUGAUGAAAUAUUCAACGAAAUUGAAUCAGCUGGUUUGAUAGUAAACAAGACUAUAAACCUUCAAGUGCAUCGACUCCUUAAAAUAAAAUGUUUAAAAUAAUGGUGAUAAGUACGAAAAUAUUUUGUUUUCUUGGGAAAUACUAUUCUAAUUUUUUUAAUUUGUUUACGCAAUCAAUUGCACAAGUCCUUUCAAACUCGAAAUAUUUUGAAGAAAAAAUUUUAAAUUGCAGGGUUGAGUCUGAUACUUGGUGAAUACUUUUUUAAUUUUAAAAUUCUGCAAGACUUUUGCAUUUUUGUGAUCUAGAUAUGCUUCAUAUCGUUAAAAUAUUUUUUUAAUGUAUAUUGGUAGUUAUAAGAGUCUGUUCAAGACACACCAAAAAAAAUGUAAAAACACCCUGAUUUUCAAGGGUAAACAAAAAAGCAAAAAAAACGUUAAAACACCCCGAUUUUCCAGGUAGUUAAAAAAAGUAAAAAAUAUCAAGCAAAACACCCCGAUUUUCAAGGUAAUCUAAAAAAAAGUAAAUAUUUCAAGCAAAAUGACCCCAAUUUUCAAGGACAAAUAGAAAAAUAGAAAAUAUUGCGAAAAUGACCGGAUUUUCAAGGGUAAAUAAAAAGCAGUGAUCCCCCUGAGGACACAGCACUUUUUAAGGUAAUAUUUUAAAAAUAACAUUUUUCAAAGAUUUUACUCUGUUGUAUUUGAAUUUACCGCCGCGAUUAAGUUGGUACUAGUUAUAUUGGCAAGCCUGAUUACCUUGGAGCUUUUGACUUCCUGCCAAUGCUCGUUCAGUUGCUUCAGUCCUGUGCAAGUCCUGUGGUUCAGUCUAUGCAUAGAUCCUCCAUUAUCUAUAAUUCUAUGCUGUGAUUCUAUCUUAUCAGUCAACGUAUAAUAAUCAUUACCUGUUCUGUGAUCAUUACCUCAGCAGAAGAUGGAUGAGGAGAACAAUGGUCAAAUUGCUAAUUAUCUCUUGGUGUGCCCAAGAGAUUGCGAAGAUCAUACCAGUGUCCUUCAACUGUUCCGCAGACUCAAGCCACCUAAUUGCCCUUUUAUAGCGACCAGGGUCUGGAGUCGGGACACCCGAAAACAAAAAUGCUGUAUGUGGGGUGUGUUAUAUCAAAGUAUUGAUGAAACACCAUAUUUACAAGGCACACAAGCUAAAGAACUAAGAAAACAGUUGAAUGCAUGGAGACCAAUAGGUGGAGAAAUUGUAGAUUAUGAAUUCUACCAAAAUCAAGCCACCAAUGAAAGUGGGUGGGUGUUCACAUGGAGGAGGUUGGCGUGUACCCAUCAACCCCAUUUUCCUAAGCAAGACAAUACUCGAACAGAGGAGCUCAAAAUGUACAUGUAGUGAUAGUAAAUAAUUAUGGUAUUUUUUAAUAAAAGUGUGGAAUCCCUUAA